rnacentral:rRNA from 1 species
GACGAACCGUGCGAACGUUAUUCGGAAUCACUGGGCUUAAAGCGCGUGUAGGCGGACGAGAACGUCGGUCGUUGAAAGCCCCCGGCUCAACCGGGGAACUGGCGCCGAAACGGCUUGUCUGGAGGGACGUAGGGGGACCUGGAACUUCCGGUGGAGCGGUGAAAUGCGUUGAGAUCGGAAGGAACGCCCGUGGCGAAAGCGAGGUCCUGGACGUCUACUGACGCUGAGACGCGAAAGCUAGGGGGAGCGAACGGGAUUAGAUACCCCGGUAGUCCUAGCUGUAAACGAUGGGCACUAGAUAGGGGGGCUCGCCGAUGGGCUCCCUGUCGUAGGGAAACCGUGAAGUGCCCCGCCUGGGGAGUAUGGUCGCAAGGCUGAAAC